GCCGCCGCCGCCACCGCCGCCGCCGCCGCCUCAGCCUUCGCCUCAGCCACCGCCGCCGCCCGCUCCCGCCCGCGCGCGGCGGGAUGGACGAUCAAUCCAGGAUGCUGCAGACUCUGGCCGGGGUGAACCUGGCCGGCCAAUCGUGCAGGGGGGCAUGGCCCUGCCGCCUCCCCCGCACGGCCACGAAGGGGCGGCAGGAAGCAGGACAUAGGCGACAUCCUCCACCAGAUCAUGACCAGAGCUUGGACGAGGCGCAAGCAAAGAAACAUGCCCUGAACUGUCAUAGAAUGAAACCCGCUCUCUUCAGCGUCCUGUGUGAGAUCAAAGAGAAAACAGGUGCAGUUGUACAUGCCUAUAAUCCCAGCUACUCCGGAGCCUGAGGCAGAAGGAUCACAAGUUCAAGGUCAGACCUGACAAUUCAGACUCUUCUUAAAAUAAAAUUAAAAGAAAGGGCUGGGAAUUUAGUUCAGUGGUAGAAUGUUGUCUAGCGUGAAUGAGGUCCUGGGUUCAAUCCCCGGUGGGUUCUGCCUCCCCACCUCCAAAAAAAG
rnacentral:lncRNA from 1 species